rnacentral:lncRNA from 1 species
UUUUUGUAUCAGAGUUGAAUCAAGAUGUUUAAGUCUCUGGAGAGUUAAGUAUUUUGUAGGAGGAAGAAUAUCAAGGUUGUGAAAAAAAAAAAAAAAAAAAACCUUGUUGUGGCUGAGAAACUGGGCUGGAGUCAGGAGGCUGGUGAUGGCCCCAGUUCUACCACUAACUAGCCAUGUGCCUACGAUGCUUCAUUUCACCUCUUGAGAUCUAAAUUUCCCCGUACGUCAAAGCAAAGAGACAGAUCUCGCUUUGUCGCCUGUCAAUGGCUAGAGUGCAGUAGCGUGAUCAUAACUUACUGCAGCCUCGAACUCCUGAGCUCAAGCAACCCUCCCUCCUCAGCCUUCCCAGAUCUCCUGAUUUCAAGUACAGUUCUUGCCAACACACAGUGGUAAAGGGUACGAUUACCUAAGGCUUAGCACAGAAGGUAGCACCCCUCACUGGUGAGCUAUCAUGAAACUAUGCGACAAUUUUCUCCAUCUUUUUUAGAGUUGUUUUCCUUGUCUUCCUCCUCAUCACGAUUAUUAUUGCUUUUUCAUUCAGCAAAAAAUCUGGUAGGAGACUGCACAGAAGCAUGCUCACUUGCUAUCAACAGUGUAACCCUACCUAACUUCCCUAAUCCCUAGCAAAUGAAGGAAAAAUCAUAUACAGGCACUGACAAAUAGCAACACAAGAAAGGGCAACAAAAUUACUAAAGAGUAACGCCAUCCUCCCCAACUCAAACCAGGGAAAGUAAGCUUGCCUAGGAACUUAGGCUGAAACUCAC